GACGAACCGUGCGAACGUUGUUCGGAUUCACUGGGCUUAAAGGGCGCGUAGGCGGCUGGCCAGGUCAGGGGUGAAAUCUUUCGGCUCAACCGGAAACGUGCCCCUGAUACCGGCCGGCUGGAGGAGGGUAGGGGCGGAUGGAACUUCCGGUGGAGCGGUGAAAUGCGUAGAUAUCGGAAGGAACGCCGGUGGCGAAAGCGAUCCGCUGGACCCUCUCUGACGCUGAGGCGCGAAAGCCAGGGGAGCGAACGGG
rnacentral:rRNA from 1 species